GAUGAAGAACGCAGCGAAAUGCGAUACGUAAUGUGAAUUGCAGAAUUCAGUGAAUCAUCGAAUCUUUGAACGCACAUUACACUCUCUGGUAUUCCGGAGAGUAUGCUUGUUUGAGUAUCUGUAAACAUCUCAAAUCUCUCUUCAAUUGCUUCAAUUGGGUCGAGAGAAUUGGAUUUGAGCGAUCCCGACUCCUUCGUCAGAAAGAGGAGGGUCGCUUGAAAUGCAGGUGCAGCUGGAAAUUCUUCUGAGCAAAAAGCAUAUCUAUUUAGUCCCGUCAAACGGAUUAUUACUUUUGCUUCAGCUAAUAUAAAGGUUGAAUGAACUACCAACGCUGAUUGCAGGAAAACAUGUUCGUUUAUUCGGACUUGUAAACUCGAUCUCAAAUCAAGUAAGACUACCCGCUGAACUUAAGCAUAUCAAUAAGCGGAGGA
rnacentral:misc_RNA from 1 species